ensembl:lncRNA
CUACAUUGUAUUGUAUGGAACUGUCCUCUACAUUAUAUUGUAUGGAAUUGUCCUCUAUAUUAUAUUGUAUGUAACAGAAACAACGAAUUAUGCACAUAUUUAUAAAACAAAUACACAAACAUUGCAAAUUAAUAUGCCUAUGCUUUAUGUUAGAUAUGUAUUAAAGUGUUGAUCAGUCUCUUUUUUAAAUUUUUUACUAACAAACUAAACCAAACAAUUGUCACAAGGUGCGGUUCUGCCGGCUGACCACACACAAAUCGUCAAUGUGAGGAGCUAUAUUGCAUUGUGAGGAAGGUCUUGUAAUAGUCUGGCAGUCCAGAAGAUGUCCCUGCACACCUAAUAAUAUCUAUUUUUUUUACAAUGUAUCUUUAUAAACAAAUGAACAUACUUUACAUCACUGAAAAUGCCCUUCAUAAAUAAACUGCCGUCAUUGCCAGCAAGACAUUAGCUACAUGUUCAUAUUCAAUAUACAGUUGACUGGAUCUCAAUGAAGACGCAAACUUUGGGUCUAAGGUAAACAUUUCUCUUCAUCUGGCGAAACCUCAACACUUUGACCUCCAUUGAAGGCGUGACGUUGUCAGAGAGAUAGUUAGAUAUGAAAUGGAAAGGAGGCAGCGAUCUAAAUUACUUCAGUGUCACAAAGUCAUCUACCUAGUUGUCGCAUGCUGCCGAAGGCUAAGGAUAGUCCUUCAAAAGUCAAGGUAUGUAAAUCCUAUACCGACUGUUGCCCGACUCGGGCUGCCACGUGCAGCAUGAUGGAAUAUGUAUUGUAGUGAUACUUACUAUAUGAGCUAUAUUACAAUUCACACCAGUUGGGUUAGCCCUAUAGGCGCAACGCGUAGCAUGGCCAUGUAACUUUCAUUCGAAAGACCCGGGUUCGCUUCCAACUCUGUCCGUUUGCUACUGUACUUUAUUUUGAGUGAGGUGUGUUUGGGUGAACUUUGUCAGUUAAUUGUGUGUUGAUAAUCAAAUAGGAUGUUGUCAAAGGGGUUCUGUCUGGAGGGAACAGUGGAUGAGAAACAGCAGAAAAGACCUUGUCAUUUUGUCCCGACAGAUCACACAUCAGCACUCCCGGUGCCGACCUCGAUUUGUCUAGGACAUUUUACAACUGACACCCAUCAAUACUGAACUCUUAUGAAAAUGAACGGUGGCAAAAAGAAGCUGCAGGCCCAGACGGCAUCCACAGCCGCGCCCUCAGAGCAUGCGCAGACCAGCUGGCCGGUGUGUUUACGGACAUAUUCAAUCAAUCCCUAUACCAGUCUGCUGUUCCCACAUGCUUCAAGAGGGCCACCAUUGUUCCUGUUCCCAAGAAAGCUAUGGUAACUGAGCUAAACGACUACCGCCCCGUAGCACUCACAUCCGUCAUCAUGAAGUGCUUUGAGAGACUAGUCAAGGACCAUAUCACCUCCACCCUACCUGACACCCUAGACCCACUCCAAUUUGCUUACCGCCCAAAUAGGUCCACAGACGAUGCAAUCUCAACCACACUGCACACUGCCCUAACCCAUCUGGACAAGAGGAAUACCUAUGUGACAAUGCUGUUCAUCGACUACAGCUCGGCAUUCAACACCAUAGUACCCUCCAAGCUCGUCAUCAAGCUCGAGACCCUGGGUCUCGACCCCGCCCUGCGCAACUGGGUACUGGACUUCCUGACGGGCCGCCCCCGGUGGUGAGGGUAGGCAACAACAUCUCCACCCCGCUGAUCCUCAACACUGGGGCCCCACAAGGGUGCGUUCUGAGCCCUCUCCUGUACUCCCUGUUCACCCAUGACUGCGUGGCCACGCACGCCUCCAACUCAAUCAUCAAGUUUGCGGACGACACAACAGUGGUAGGCUUGAUUACCAACAACGACGAGACGGCCUACAGGGAGGAGGUGAGGGCCCUCGGAGUGUGGUGUCAGGAAAAUAACCUCACACUCAACGUCAACAAAACUAAGGAGAUGAUUGUGGACUUCAGGAAACAGCAGAGGGAACACCCCCCUAUCCACAUCGAUGGAACAGUAGUGGAGAGGGUAGCAAGUUUUAAGUUCCUCGGCAUACACAUCACAGACAAACUGAAUUGGUCCACUCACACAGACAGCAUCGUGAAGAAGGGGCAGCAGCGUCUCUUCAACCUCAGGAGGCUGAAGAAAUUCGGCUUGUCAUCAAAAGCACUCACAAACUUCUACAGAUGCACAAUCGAGAGCAUCCUGGCGGGCUGUAUCACCGCCUGGUACGGCAACUGCUCCGCCCACAACCGUAAGGCUCCCCAGAGGGUAGUGAGGUCUGCACAACGCAUCACCGGGGCAAACUACCUGCCCUCCGGGACAACUACACCACCCAAUGUUACAGGAAGGCCAUAAAGAUCAUCAAGGACAUCAACCACCCGAGCCACUGCCUGUUCACCCCGCUAUCAUCCAGAAGGCAAGGUCAGUACAGAGCUGCAUCAAAGCUGGGACCGAGAGACUGAAAAACAGCUUCUAUCUCAAGGCCAUCAGACUGUUAAACAGCCACCACUAACAUUGAGUGGCUGCUGCCAACACACUGACACUGACACUGACUCAACUCCAGCCACUUUAAUAAUGGGAAUUAAUGGGAAAUGAUGUAAAUAUAUCACUAGCCACUUUAAACAAUGCUACCUUAUAUAAUGUUACUUACCCUACAUUAUUCAUCUCAUAUGCAUACGUAUAUACUGUACUCUAUAUCAUCGACUGCAUCCUUAUGUAAUACAUGUAUCACUAGCCACUUUAACUAUGCCACUUUGUUUACAUACUCAUCUCAUAUGUAUAUACUGUACUCGAUACUAUCUACUGUAUCUUGCCUAUGCUGCUCUGUACCAUCACUCACUCAUAUAUCUUUAUGUACAUAUUCUUUAUCCCCUUACACUGUGUAUAAGACA